AAAUUAUAUAAAAAAAUAAGACAUUCUUCAAAAUAUAUGUUAACUCAAAAGCGUUCAAAUAUCAUAGCCUAAAUAUUACAACUUUUUUUAUUGAAUUUAUAAUUAUCCUAUGUGUGUGGAUCUAUUAAAAAACACACAGUUUUCAUAAUCAGUUUAUUUUAUUUGUCCACUACUAAUAAUGAACUAUUUUUAAAAUACAUUAAUAAACAUAAGAGAGAUAAAAGUGUAAAAAUAUCUAUCUAUCUAUCUAUCUAUCUGUCUGUCUGUCUGUCUGGCUGUCUGUCUGUCGGUCUGUCUGUCUGUCUGUCUGCUUGAUGAACUGCAAAUCCCAGAUGGCGUCGCGGGGGCGUGUCGUCACGUGACCUAAGCAAGGUGUUUUCACAUGAGCGCGCGGAGAGCAGAGGGCUCACAGAGGUCAGAGCUCAGAGUGCAGGCGGACCGCGGAGAAACACGCUCAGUUCAUCUACGGGAGGAUGGAGGUGGAGAACCGACCCAACGGAUUUGACUUCUCCAAACGGGACAACUUACUGGGCAGCGGUUUUUAUGAAGAGAACUCCCUUCAGGAAGACACAGCUGUUUGGACUCUCAUUCUGACGGCACCCAUUCACUGCAGAGGAUCCAUUAGUGAGCAAGUGAUGUAAUGCUACAUUUCUCCAAAUCUGUUCUGAUGAAGAGACAAUUUCAUCUACAUUUUGCCUUAGGGUGAGAAAAGUUUCAGCAAAUUUUUAUUUUUGGGUGAACUACUCCUUUAAUAUUAUAAUUUCUAUAGUAUUCAUAAUAUUAAAAUAUUACACAACAUUUAAUUAUUCAGUGUAGUGUCACUCUAUGAAAGUAUCUGACCACUGAAUGCUGCGUUUGACCUGACAGAACAAAUAUUUUAAACUCCAAGAUAGCUGUUUAAUAAAAACCAAAAGUGCAGCA
ensembl:lncRNA